UUAGGUUAUAUUUUUUUCGUUUACAUUAUCUUUUUGCUUUCUUUUUGUUUCUUUUUGCAUCUUUUUGCUCCAUAAACACACACCAAAAUUUUUUCACACAUUUUUCACUUUUUGCACACACACAGAGAAUUUUGACUUAGCUUUUGCUCUACUCAACAUAGAUAACAAGGUUAAAAGAGCUUCCUAUCUCAUGACCCCAUUGAUUUUCCACCCCUUUAAGCCUAAAUUGAAUCAAUUAUAGUGUGCUACCUUCACUUUAGAAGUUCUUUUCUUGAAUUGAAUCUCUAAAUUUGCAUUGGUCAAGGGAAAUAAAAAUAUAAAUACAUGCAAAUAAAAAGUUAGUGUAACUCCCUAUGAGGUGAUUUGCCCAAACUGUCAUAAAAAGAAAAGAAAAA
rnacentral:lncRNA from 1 species